ACGCGCGCGGCUGCGCUGCAUGGGAGAAUCCAAAUAAGUAUCAAGUCCAAUAAAGGACUUUCAUGGUUAAUAAAAUGUGACCUGAGGGCUGCCGACUUGCCGCCUAGCGAGGGCGCACCCCCUCCGAUUAACCGGGCAGCAACCUUAAUGGACUGUAAUCAGCCCGUAGGAGAUCUGGAUUCGCGCCAGUGCAGUAGCGUCCGGGUGGAGAGUGUUCGAUGCGUUU
rnacentral:misc_RNA from 1 species